AGGACGAACGCUGGCGGCGUGCUUAACACAUGCAAGUCGAGCGGAAAGGCCCUUCGGGGUACUCGAGCGGCGAACGGGUGAGUAACACGUGAGCAACCUGCCCCUGGCUCUGGGAUAGCUCCGGGAAACCGGGAUUAAUACCGGACAUGACCUGCCGCGGCAUCGCGGCGGGUGGAAAGUUUUUCGGCCAGGGAUGGGCUCGCGGCCUAUCAGCUUGUUGGCAGGGUAAUGGCCUACCAAGGCGACGACGGGUAGCCGGCCUGAGAGGGCGACCGGCCACACUGGGACUGAGACACGGCCCAGACACCUACGGGUGGCAGCAGUCGAGAAUUUUUCUCAAUGGGGGAAACCCUGAAGGAGCGACGCCGCGUGGAGGAUGAAGGCUUUCGGGUUGUAAACUCCUGUCAUUUGAGAACAAGGUGCGUACGUUAACUGCGUGCGCAUUGAUAGUAUCAGAAGAGGAAGAGACGGCUAACUCUGUGCCAGCAGCCGC
rnacentral:rRNA from 1 species